ACGAACGCUGGCGGCGUGCUUAACACAUGCAAGUCGAACGGAAAGGCCCUGCUUUUGUGGGGUGCUCGAGUGGCGAACGGGUGAGUAACACGUGAGUAACCUGCCCUUGACUUUGGGAUAACUUCAGGAAACUGGGGCUAAUACCGGAUAGGAGCUCCUGCUGCAUGGUGGGGGUUGGAAAGUUUCGGCGGUUGGGGAUGGACUCGCGGCUUAUCAGCUUGUUGGUGGGGUAGUGGCUUACCAAGGCUUUGACGGGUAGCCGGCCUGAGAGGGUGACCGGCCACAUUGGGACUGAGAUACGGUCCAGACUCCUACGGGAGGCAGCAGUGGGGAAUAUUGCACAAUGGGCGGAAGCCUGAUGCAGCAACGCCGCGUGCGGGAUGACGGCCUUCGGGUUGUAAACCGCUUUCGCCUGUGACGAAGCGUGAGUGACGGUAAUGGGUAAAGAAGCACCGGCCAACUACGUG
rnacentral:rRNA from 1 species